rnacentral:rRNA from 1 species
GAUGAACGCUGACAGAAUGCUUAACACAUCAGCAACUGAUUGGUGGCGGACGGGUGAGUAACGCGUAAAGAACUUACCUCACAGUUAGGGACAACAUUUGGAAACGACUGCUAUUCCCUAAUACUGUGAGAGUGCUUUGCGUCCCAUUAGCUAGUUGGAGAGGUAACGGCUCACCAAGGCGAUGAUGGGUAGCCGGCCUGAGAGGGUGAUCGGCCCAAAGGGGAACGAGAAGCGGCCGUUGCUACUACGGGAGGAUGCAGUGGGGAAUAUUGGAGAAAUGCCCAAAGUUUGAUCAAGUAAUCCGGUUGGAAAGAUGAAUUUUUCGGAAUGUAAAGAGCUUUCAGUUGGGAAGCGGUCCAAACAGAAGAGGUGACGGCUAAUUACGUGCAAGCGGCGGGGGUAAUU